UGCCAUUGAUGAUAACACUGAAGGCUUGUUUCUCACAGACAUUCGCAGUGGCCGCCUAAGAUCUUUCGCCUUUCGCCGGGCUUGAGAGAUUGUGCUGUUUUAUCCUUCCUUGGAUGUCUGAGGCA